rnacentral:lncRNA from 1 species
CGUUGUUAAGUCUACGUUGGGGCUCUCGAGAAGGUGAAACAGAAGGAUCUGUCUGAAUAUGAUGGGUACAAAUCAUAGGACUGAUUCCUUUAAGAUCUUGGAGUGAGUAGCCGAAAACUGAGUGAUGUUUCUCAAGAAUGGUCAUCAAUCGCAGAGUUUGCUCCUGAGUGAGUUUAUCACUAAUGAUCACAGGAAACUCUGGAUUAUUGUUUAGGAAAGCAUAGAUAAGACCGGGUGGUAAAGUUUUAAUCUCUA